CAAAUUGCGAAAUUAAAAUCCAAGGACUACAUUAAAAAAGGCGCGCAAAUGCAGGGGGCCAAUUACAGUUUAAACCAGGGGUUUAAUUACAAGACUUUCAAAACUGCAUGGAUCAAAAGGACAAAUGGCCGAACGACGUCGUUUUGAAGACGCUGUUCAUCUUCUUCGCCUUUAACCCAGUGACCGUUUUCUACAGUAAAGGACGCCGAACGUUGCAGCAGUAAUCGUCGUCCGUUGGCUUCAGUAAUGGGCGCCUUAAUGGUGGUCGACCCUCAGCCUGCUGCCCGUUAUCUACCCGCCGAGCCCUAUAUAAACCGAGCAGCACCGAAGAGCAAAGGGUUGGAAAAAAAUCCAGGAGACAAAAAGGGGGAACGGAAGCUAAACCCAGACAAAAAACCAAAAACCAGAGGAUAAAACAGAAAAAACGCAGAAAAGAGAAGGAAAAGUAAAGGAGCAACACAGAGAGGAGGAUUGGCUUUGCAAUUACUUUCGUCCCUGCAGACAGAGAAAGACCCAGAAUCAAAACCAAUUCAAAGCAGGUCGGCCUCUUCAUCACCUUCUCAGCUUCAAAGUUGCUGAGAAAACAAAAGGAACAUGUAGGCAGGUGAGCGCAGAAGGAAGACAAAGGGAAGCAGCGGGCGAGGAUCCAUCAGCACUGUAAGCGUCCUCGGUCUCCAGCACCAGGUAAGCAAACUUUUGCUUCUUUGUUAAUUUAAUUAGCAUUGGCUCUGUGCAAGUGAAUUUUAAUUCACUUGCACACUGAAGCAACACGCGUGCGUUAAUUCACUCCC
rnacentral:lncRNA from 1 species